ACCAAAUGGUUGGGUUGGAAAGGGUCUUAAUUGAUCACGGAGGCAUAGAAUGGUUGGGUUGGGUUGGAAGGGGCCUCACAGAUCAUAGAGUCAUAGAGUGGUUGGGUUGGAAAAGACUUUGUAGAUCACAGAGCUGUAGAGUGGUUGGGUUGGAAGGGAUCUUAUCGAUCAUAGAGUCAUAGAGUGGUUGGGUUGGAAAAGACUUUGUAGAUCACAGAGCUGUAGAGUGGUUGGGUUGGAAGGGAUCUUAUCGGUCAUGGAGCCAUGGAAUGGUUGGGUUGGGUUGGAAGGGACCUCAUAGAUCAUAGAGUGGUUGGGUUGGAAGGGACCUCAUAGGUCAUAGGGACGUAAAAUGGUUGGGUUGAGUGGGAAGGGGUCUUAUAGGUCUACCUUACGGAUUGCAGAGCCAUGGGUUGGGUUGGAAGGGACCUCAUAGAUCACAGAGCUGUAGAGUGGUUGGGUUGGAAGGGAUCUUAUCGGUCAUGGAGCCAUGGAAUGGUUGGGUUGAGUUGGAAGGGACCUCAUAGAUCAUAGAGUGGUUGUGUUGGAAGGGACCUCGUAGAUCAUAGAGUUGUAGAGUGAUUGGGUUGGAAGGGACUGUGUGGGUCACAGAGCUGUAGUGUGGUUGGGUUGGGUGGGAUUGGAAGAGUCCUUAUGGAUCACAGAGCCACCAAAUGGUUGGGUUGGAAAGGAUCUUAAUUGAUCACGGAGGCAUAGAAUGGUUGGGUUGGGUUGGAAGGGGCCUCACAGAUCAUAGAGUCAUAGAGUGGUUGGGUUGGAAGGGACUGUGUGGGUCACAGAGCUGUAGAGUGGUUGGGUUGGAAGGGAUCUUAUCGGUCAUGGAGCCAUGGAAUGGUUGGGUUGGGUUGGAAGGGACCUCAUAGAUCAUAGAGUGGUUGGGUUGGAAGGGGCCUUGUAGGUCAUAGGGACGUAAAAUGGUUGGGUUGAGUGGGAAGGGAUCUUAUAGGUCGACCUUACGGAUUGCAGAGCCAUGGG
rnacentral:lncRNA from 1 species